rnacentral:rRNA from 1 species
GACGAACGCUGGCGGCGUGCUUAACACAUGCAAGUCGAACGGAAAGGCCCUGCUUUUGUGGGGUGCUCGAGUGGCGAACGGGUGAGUAACACGUGAGUAACCUGCCCUUGACUUUGGGAUAACUUCAGGAAACUGGGGCUAAUACCGGAUAGGAGCUCCUGCUGCAUGGUGGGGGUUGGAAAGUUUCGGCGGUUGGGGAUGGACUCGCGGCUUAUCAGCUUGUUGGUGGGGUAGUGGCUUACCAAGGCUUUGACGGGUAGCCGGCCUGAGAGGGUGACCGGCCACAUUGGGACUGAGAAACGGCCCAGACUCCUACGGGAGGCAGCAGUGGGGAAUGUUGCACAAUGGGCGGAAGCCUGAUGCAGCAACGCCGCGUGCGGGAUGACGGCCUUCGGGUUGUAAACCGCUUUCGCCUGUGACGAAGCGUGAGUGACGGUAAUGGGUAAAGAAGCACCGGCUAACUACGUG